GCCAGGCAUGGUGUUGCAUGCCUGUAGCCCCAGUUACUCAGGAGGCUGAGGUGGGAGGAUCACUUGAGCCCAGGAGGUUGAGGCUGCAGUGAGCCAUGAUCGCACCACUGCACUUCAGCCUUGGCAACAGAGUGAGAUCCUGCCUCAA
ensembl:misc_RNA Metazoa_SRP Metazoan signal recognition particle RNA